rnacentral:rRNA from 1 species
AUUGAACGCUGGCGGCAGGCCUAACACAUGCAAGUCGAACGAGUGGCGGACGGGUGAGUAAUGUCUGGGAAACUGCCCGAUGGAGGGGGAUAACUACUGGAAACGGUAGCUAAUACCGCAUACCAUCGGAUGUGCCCAGAUGGGAUUAGCUAGUAGGUGGGGUAACGGCGCACCUAGGCGACGAUCCCUAGCUGGUCUGAGAGGAUUCCCGGCCAAACUGGGACUGAGACACGGCCCAGACGCAUACGGGAGGCAGCAGUGGGGAAUAUUGCACAAUGGGCGCAAGCCUGAUGCAGCCAUGCCGCGUGUAUGAAGAAGGCCUUCGGGUUGUAAAGUACUUUCAGUCGGGAGGCGUUACCGACAGAAGAAGCACCGGCUAACUCCGUGCCAGCAGCCGCGGUAAUAC